CAGGCGUCUGUCUACGUGGCUU
rnacentral:miRNA from 1 species